rnacentral:rRNA from 1 species
GACGAACGCUGGCGGCGUGCCUAAUACAUGCAAGUUGAGCGCUGAAGGUUGGUACUUGUACCAACUGGAUGAGCAGCGAACGGGUGAGUAACGCGUGGGGAAUCUGCCUUUGAGCGGGGGACAACAUUUGGAAACGAAUGCUAAUACCGCAUAAAAACUUUAAACACAAGUUUUAAGUUUGAAAGAUGCAAUUGCAUCACUCAAAGAUGAUCCCGCGUUGUAUUAGCUAGUUGGUGAGGUAAAGGCUCACCAAGGCGAUGAUACAUAGCCGACCUGAGAGGGUGAUCGGCCACAGUGGGACUGAGACACGGCCCAAACUCCUACGGGAGGCAGCAGUAGGGAAUCUUCGGCAAUAGACGAAAGUCUGACCGAGCAACGCCGCGUGAGUGAAGAAGGUUUUCGGAUCGUAAAACUCUGUUGGUAGAGAAGAACGUUGGUGAGAGUGGAAAGCUCAUCAAGUGACGGUAACUACCCAGAAAGGGACGGCUAACUACGUG